AUGCUGGCCCAGGCAUGGUCAACACGAGGCGAUCGAGCUGCUCUGCUCGUUACUGAAGAACAGAGGCAGCAGCAGGUUCGUGGCGAUGUAACGGCGACACAAGAGGUUCUGGAGACAGGGCGGCCGGUACCGGCUGGAACGGGGUGGAUCCAGUCGGCCGGCGUCGGUUCCGGGCAACGGCGGCGGUGGACAGAGCUCGGGCGCGUAGCUCAGCCAUCCAUGGCGUACUGCCGAUGGUGCACAGAGAGAGAUGUUAGAGAGAGGGGAAAACUCAGGCUUCAAUCCAAUCUAUCCCUGUACGGUCGAAGGGGGUUGUUUGAGCCCAACGUUAGUGUUAAAAAUCACCUCAUCUCCACUGGCGAACCCAGCCGCAACGCAUCCUUCACAUCACUGAUGGUGUAUCAUUCUCCAGUGUCUCAACAUAGUCUGCCUUUUAGUUAUCCAACGUCGAUGUUAUAUCAUUCAAACUCAAAGUUCAGCUUGCAAGCUCUUAUGUUAUUAUCUAACCAGUGUUUUGUUUCAAAUGCUUUGUCUUAA
rnacentral:rRNA from 1 species